rnacentral:rRNA from 1 species
CCUACGGGAUGCAGCAGUGGGGAAUAUUGCGCAAUGGGGGAAACCCUGACGCAGCAACGCCGCGUGAAGGAUGAAGGCCUUCGGGUUGUAAACUUCUUUGAUGAGGGAAGAAUAAUGACGGUACCUCAAAAACAAGCCACGGCUAACUACGUGCCAGCAGCCGCGGUAAUACGUAGGUGGCAAGCGUUGUCCGGAAUUACUGGGUGUAAAGGGCGUGUAGGCGGGAAUGUAAGUCAGAUGUGAAAUUCCGGGGCUCAACCCCGGCGCUGCAUCUGAAACUAUGUUUCUUGAGUGCUGGAGAGGAAAGCGGAAUUCCUAGUGUAGCGGUGAAAUGCGUAGAUAUUAGGAGGAACACCAGUGGCGAAGGCGGCUUUCUGGACAGUAACUGACGCUGAGGCGCGAAAGCGUGGGGAGCAAACAGGAUUAGAUACCCGGGUAGUCC